AGCGAACGCUGGCGGCAGGCUUAACACAUGCAAGUCGAGCGGGCACCUUCGGGUGUCAGCGGCAGACGGGUGAGUAACACGUGGGAACGUACCCUUUGGUUCGGAACAACUCCGGGAAACUGGAGCUAAUACCGGAUAAGCCCUUCGGGGAAGAUUAUCGCCAAAGGAUCGCCGCGUCUGAUUAGCUAGUUGGUGAGGUAACGGCCCACCAAGGCGACGAUCAGUAGCUGGUCUGAGAGGANGAUCAGCCACACUGGGACUGAGACACGGCCCAGACUCCUACGGGAGGCAGCAGUGGGGAAUAUUGGACAAUGGGCGGCAAGCCUGAUCCAGCCAUGCCGCGUGAGUGAUGAAGGCCUUAGGGUUGUAAAGCUCUUUU
rnacentral:rRNA from 1 species